UACAGAGGGGGCAAGCGUUAUUCGGAAUUAUUGGGCGUAAAGGGCGCGUAGGCGGCCUGGCAAGUGGAAGGUGAAAUCCCUCGGCUUAACCGAGGAACUGCCUCCCAAACUGCUUGGCUCGAGACCGGGGAGAGGUGAGUGGAAUUCCCCAGUGUAGCGGUGAAAUGCGUAGAUAUUGGGAGGAACACCAGUGGCGAAGGCGGCUCACUGGACCGGUACUGACGCUGAUGCGCGAAAGCGUGGGGAGCAAACGGG
rnacentral:rRNA from 1 species